rnacentral:rRNA from 1 species
UACGUAGGGGGCAAGCGUUGUCCGGAAUCAUUGGGCGUAAAGAGCGUGUAGGCGGUCCGGUAAGUCGGCUGUGAAAGCCCCGGGCUCAACCUGGGAAUUGCGAUGGAGACUGCAAGGCUUGAAUCUGGCAGAGGGGGGGUAGAAUUCCACGUGUAGCAGGUGAAAAUGCGUGAGAGAUGUGGAGGAACACCGAUGGCGAAGGCAGCCCCCUGGGUCAAGAUUGACGCUCAUGCACGAAAGCG